UAGGGAAUCUUCCGCAAUGGACGAAAGUCUGACGGAGCAACGCCGCGUGAGUGAUGAAGGUUUUCGGAUCGUAAAACUCUGUUGUUAGGGAAGAACAAGUAUCGUUCGAAUAGGGCGGUACCUUGACGGUACCUAACCAGAAAGCCACGGCUAACUACGUG
rnacentral:rRNA from 1 species